rnacentral:lncRNA from 1 species
UUACAAUAAUUUUUAGACAAAUUAGGACAUGAACCUAAUCCCAUAACCAACAACAGCUGGCCUGACUUGAAUUUUUACUGACGAAAUGGCGAAGAUAUUCGGUUUCACCAUAAAUUUAUAAAGAUGCCACCCACCCCACCAUUCUCUUUUUCCUCACCCACUCCACCGAUCUGCUCUCUCUCUUCUCUCUCUCUCUCUCUCUCUCUCUCUCUCUCUCUCUCUCUCUCUCUCUCUAGCUUUCCCUAAAUCAUCAACCAUGAUCCAUAAAUUCAUGGAUCGUAAAUCGCUUUGGCAUGCCUGUGGUGAUUCCGAUGAAGCCCAAGCUUGACUUUGUCGGGCGGCGAGAUCUAUAAGUAGCCUAAGCUCCUCUGUGUAUGAGGCAAUAGAACAUACUUCAUAUGCCGAUGUCGCCGGAUUGGUUGAUUAAGUUUAUUUUUGCGGAAUUACGGUGUUGAUUUGUGAGGUUUUGGACUAUGUAGGUUUUGGUCUCCGAGGAGGUGGACGAGGUGGACGCUUUAAUCUAGCCUUGUAAUCUUGUGUUGGAUCUAAGAUCAUUGUUACUGAGCUGUGGAAUAAUUUGGCUGAAAUAAUGAGGUCUCUCUCUUCUUUCUCUAUCUCUCUCUCAGUAGCAGCAUAAACCUCCUCAGUAGCAGCACUACAAUAGUGAAUCAAACAAUGGAAGCAACAACAGCCAUAGCUUUGCAAUCUGAUAGUAGCAACAUUUCAAUAAUGAUCUAAACAGUAGCAGUAGCAGCUAGCUUCACAGUGAGCAGUAGCAGCUAGCUUCACAGUUCACAGUAAGCAGUGGCAGUUAGUUUCACAAUCGGCAGUAGAACUGGCAGUAGCACCUUCCUACUCAGCAGUAAUACCUUCUUACUCGGUAGGCAGUAGCACAUCUCUCAUACAGUAGCUUACUCGGCAGGCAGUAGCACGUAUUUCAUACCGUAGCAGUAGAGAGUAGCUUACUCGGCAGGCAGUAGCACGUCUUUCAUACAGUAGCAGUAGAGUAGGUAGUGAAGGGUAGUUUGGUAAAAUAUGUAGUGACAGAUGACAUGUAGAUAUUAAUUUGUCCUAAUUUGUUAAUUUUUGUCCUUAAAUGUGUAAGAUAUUGUAUAAAGGAUGUAUUUGUAAAUUGCCGCGGUAUAUGCCACCCAGCAGGCCCAGCAGCAGCAGAUGUUCUAGUACUUACAGGAGUUUACAGCUGCCCAGCUUCAGGAACUUCCGGCUCCGCCCAUGCCUACGCCUAUACCGCUACCUCAGCCGUUGCAACCUCCUCCACAGCAGCCCCUAGAAUCGGAUAUUGAUUUAGACGAUCUAGAUUUUAUGUAGUUGAUCAAUUAUAUAGUUUUAUGUGCUUGUUGUUGGUUAUAUGAAAUUGUUUUGAUGUAUUUUGCAGCUUGCUUGGAAUGGUAAUUUAGAAAUUUUGAGGUUUUUUUUUUACUGGAAUGGACUUAUAGCCGACAAAACAUGUAAAAUAUUAGUCGGCUAUAAUAUUUUUAAUUUUUUUAUAAGGUCUAGCCGACGAAUUACGGCAUGUUUCAUCGGCUGAACCCUUCUAAAGCCGACGAAAGACUAUAUUUCGUCAGCUAUAGUUAUUUUUUAAUUUUUUAUUGCACACUUUAGCCGACGAAUAUCUUAAAUGUUUCGUCGGCUAAAGUCUCAGACUACGGUCGACGAAACAUUUAAGAUAUUCAUCGGCUUAAUUCUGGGACAAUAGUCAACGACGUCUUCUUGUUUCGUCGGCUAAAGUCAUCGCCGACGACUCUUUCCCGACGAAACCAAAGCCGACGAAGGCUCGUCGGUUAAGAUCUUAGCCGACAAAUUUAGCUAACAGGCCGACGAAACUUUUUCGUCGGUUAAAGUGCUUGUCCUAGUAGUGUUAGUAACUAAUAUGUAGUUUACUACAUUUAAUAUUGUAGGAUUUCUAGUUCCUUUAGGUUUUAUUAUUUUCUAGUUCCGUUCUAAAUAGGAUUUAGUCAGGAGUUAAGGCUUAUAUAAAGCCACCCUCUAUGUAUUAUUCAUUGAAUUCAACAAUCUAUCAAAUUAUAAUCAAUUGAGAGUUUUUCUCUUAUUUUCUGGUAAAUUACAGAGUUUAAUGCUCGUCAGCCCCCCAACCCCCCCCCCCCCCCGGCAUGUUUCCCGCCUGCGUUAGUUGGUAUCAGAGCGGGUUUCUCCUGUCUCUUUUAUCUACUAGAUUAUCCAUGGCUCAUGAACCAGUUAUAAAAGCAUAUUUGGAUUGCCUUUUCGCUCAGAUAACUGCUACUAUUAACAACUUUCAAGCUCAAAUAGGAGGAUUUCAAACGAAUAACAACAAUUGCAAGAGAGAUCGAGGAGGAGCAUCCAAGUGGCAAAAUCAGGUUGCUAAUCAUGCAUUCUUUAUGUUUAUGGAGGUUCUAGAACACAAGCAUGUAAAGAUUGUUUCAAACCGUCUUAAGAGCAUUGCUGCUGAUUGGUGGGAUGAUUUGCAAAGAGAUGAAAGAUGCAAGGUAAAGAACUUGUUCGAACAUGAAGGAAGAUGAAAGGUCUUCUUAGAGGAAAAUUUCUACCUAGCGAUUUUUCGAUCAAGAAGUAUCAUUCUAAGUUGGAAGAGAGGAAACUAAAAGUUGACAAGUUUGCUUUGCCCGUUGUGAGUAAUAUUUUGAUUGAAGAAAAAUCAGAAGAAUUUCAAAUUGAAGAAGCUCCACAAGAAAUCAUCCAUGAAUUCUCAAUGGAAGAAGUACGACCAUAAAUUAUCCUUGAAUUUCCAACGGAAGAAGUUCCACAAGAAAUUAUCCAUGAAGUUCCAACGAAUGAAGCUACACAAAAAAUUAUCCAUGAGCCUCCAACGGAAGAAGUUCCUCAAGAGCUUAUCUAAGAACAAACUAGAGAGGAAAUUGUUUGUAUUGACAUGGUUAAAAAUGUUGAAGAAAGCUUGUAGCCUCAAGUUAUUCAUUCUAAACCAGAUGUCAUUAAAGAAUACAAUUCUGAGUGCCCAGAAGAAUCCGUCCAAGUUGCCUAUGACAAACUCAUCUUUGGAGUUGAGUUCAUGAUUGUGCCGUCAGAGUUCGCAACAGAUCAUGCUAAUAAACCACAGGAUCAACCAUCGAAUGUCUUGGGUUUUUCGUCAACAUAUUCUCGUUUCUCAUUAAAGAUUAACUCGAGGUCGAGUUCUUUUCAAGUGGAGGAGUCUGAUGCAGGACAAGAUUUUAGCCAAAUUCAGCAAAGAAUAUCGAAACGAAAGAAAUGUCGUCACAUUAAUAAGAAUGAUUUGAAUAUUACAAAUUGGUAUUCAAAUAGGCUUCUUAAUGAUGGAAUUAACUAUAAAUUACUCUUUUGGAUAUAUCGGGAUUCUCGAGCAAAAAACAUAUUUUGGAUUGUGAAUCGGAUUAGAGUGGAUUUUGGCUAGAAUGUCUGUUUGGAACGCAUAAUACAUUUUCGGAAUGGGAAUAACGAGAUCUACAGGACUAACUUUUGUGAGCCUCGUCAGAUUUAGGCUAAAAGAUGUCGUUUUAAUAUUCUGAUUCAGCAUUUAAUAUUGUUUUAGGAUUUCUAGUUCCUUUAGGUUUUAUUAUUUUCUAGUUCUAUUCUAAAUAAGAUUUAGUCAGGAGUUAGGGCUUAUAUAAAGACACCCUCUAUGUAUUAUUCAUUGAAUUCAACAAUUCAAUAAUAUUUCAGAAAACCCAGAGAUUUAUCUCACUUAUUGUCUUCAAAUUCGGUUCGACGCUUGUCUACCGUUUUUACCUUUCUACCUAUAGCUUUCACUGCGUUAACUUCGCUCUCAUCUAGUUGCCCUACAGCGCUAGUGUCGGUCUUUGGCCAUGCCAACAUCUGACGGGUGUGGUCGGACAGGAUUCUCUGUUUGAUGGACGAGGUUGGAGCUUGGUGGUUUUCAUACAAAACUUGUCGCAAAAUAUGCUCAUAUAAAUGAAAAAAAAAAAUCGGGUUUUGGUUUUCUUUAUAAGGUACUUGACUUUGAAUUCUGGAUUAGGGCUUCAUUCAGAACUAGGGCUUCAUACUGGUAACUUGUUUUAAAGUUUAAUUUUGUGAUAUCAGAGAGUAUUUUUUUUUUUUUUAGGUAAGGUAAAAUCUUUAUAUAUAAACCAAAUUACAGACCAUGAGAGAUAUCGAUGGUGGAUAAACCCCACAUGCCUCCCUACCAAAAAUACAAGCGAGUAUAUAGGACAAGAACCGAUAAGGGUUCAACUACAUCCUAACCUAUUCCAGAAGCCUCCAACAUCAAGAAGAAACAACAUCUUCUAACAUUACAUACCAAAAUCACUAGCAUAUAUGUAGAGCUAACCUCCCCGUUACAUUGACAAUAUGAGAACACCGACCUUAAAAUAGUCUACAAAAAUGACACCAUAACCAUGACACAACGAUACCAACCUACCAAAACCAUAAACCCUCUCUCAACAAGAGAAGGCCUAAACCCUCACUCAAAGAGGAGGGACUAGUAAACCUACACAAAACCAGAAAACCCAAAAAGAAAACUAAAAAAAAAAAAAAAAACCAAAAACAAAACUACAAAAAGGAUCCAAGAUUAAGCCCAAAAGGAACCCAGAGAAGCCUUUCAGAGAGCCAACCUAAAAGAUGCUCUGACAUAUCUUGAAACAGCUCGUAUGCGUUGCCACUGGUGUCGGUCGCCACCCGAAGAGCGCCACCAUUCGCCUCCACCGCGAGGAGGUGGCACAUCACCUCUGAAAUCUGGAACAUAUAUGGUUGGGAUACGCAACCCAUGCCAAAUCUACAAGUUGAUCCGAGCGAGCUUACCCCCUUAACACCGUCAACAUGAUCGACCGCGACUCUUGUUUGCAAUUCAACCUCCCUGUCGGUGUAAAGCGACACUUCACCUCAACCUGCCGAACCACAUCUCAAUCUGAUAUGUGAAAAGGGUCGCCUCUCUAGUUCCUUGUCACGAGCCUAUAAGAAGCGACCACCAUUUAGCCACUGUUAACUCCUAUUCGACAACAGCGUCAACGAAUGCGCCGUCAGACGGAGAUGAGGAAAAACUUUUGAAUCCCUAGGAGUGCACGGGUAUUUUGGAGAGAGAGCGAAGAAGUUUAUUGAUAUCAAAGAGAAAUUGGGAGAAAAUAAUAGUUGUAAACUUGUAAUUCAUCUAUGAAUAAAAAGUAUCUAUAAUGCAUAAGGAAAGGAAGGUACAUAAAAUCCUAGUACACAAUACUAUUUUGUAAUCUAGUGUGAUAUCCCCAUUUUUAUACUGAUUCACUUCGUUUUCUUUUUAAUGAGCUAAAGUACUCAAAUGUUGUAAACCAGCUUUUCAUGAGUUGAAGUCGUAAACCAACUUUUCGUCAGUUGAAGUCACAACUUUUUAUUUACAAGAAAAAAAAUUAUGUCACUAGAUUAAAUGAUAUCGUACAUAUUAUGUUAAUAGACCGAAUAAUACUAGACAUAUUGAUUCUAGUUCUAACUAUCGAUGACAUACCUAGAUCGUGCAUCUAUAUUUAGACCAAAAAAACUAAUUCAGACUGUAAAUUGCGAGUUGCUCAUUAAAUCAGGUACGUUUAGGUGAAAAAAGUCAUAAAUUUAAAAAAUAAUAAUAAUACUAAAAAUUAAAUAAAAAAAAGUGUCCUGAAAAUGUUGCGUGUACAGUGCAAACCCUCCAAAGCUCCCGUCCUUGGUGACCAAGUUUACCGUUUGUUUUCAUCUACCCCGUAUCCCAAUUCUAUCCCCCUUUUCUGUCACUUAAAUUCUCUCAAAUCUUGAUCCAGAACAGAACACCCAUGACAGAAAACUCACCAGAUUUGCCACGAGAAUGCUGGGAACACAUAUUCAAUCUCCUAGACCUCGACCACCCCUCUCAACUGUCCCCCCUCUCUCUCGUCUCCAAGCAAUUCCUCCACAUCACCAAUCGCCUCUUACUCUCUCUCAAACUCUCCGACCCAACACUCCUCCCAAUCCUACCUCGUCUUCUCCACAGAUUCCAAUGCCUCAAAGAAAUAAACCUCUCCGGCUUCGGCGGCGACUUGAACCCUGUUCUUCAUCGAAUUGCCAUAUCUGGGUUGAACCUCCAAUCACUCGACAUCUCAUCCCGACAAACUUUACCCGUAAAUGGAUUAAGAGUGUUCUCCUCCAAAAUGAUGAACCUGACGUCAUUGAAUUGCUGCAGAGUCGGAUUCUUACAGGACACUGAUCUAACUCUGAUAGCAGAGUCGUUUCCUAUGCUACAGGAGCUUGACAUUAGCUACCCAGAACAGGGAUCCUCAACUGGGUCGUCGGAUUGGAAGCCCAUAUCCGAUUCGGGUGUACUUUCGCUGGCAGUGAAUCUCAAAAGCCUGAGGAGGAUCAACCUUUCUGGUAAUGACUUCAUUACUGAUAUGUCCCUUUUGCAUUUGGCAAAGAAUUGUGUGUUGUUGACCCAAGUUGUUAUUUAUGAAUGUGAGUUCAUAACACAUAAUGGUGUGGCUAAACUGAUCCGUGCUUGUGGUCACUUGAAUAGUGUUUCGUUUUGUGGAGUUGGGGAACCUAUGUUUUAUCGUUUUGGAUUUUAUCGUUAGGAUGUCCAUGGAAAAGCUCCAAGGCUUUAUGUGCUGUUGAUUUUUCGAACACGUUGGUUCCGGAUGAAUUGCUUUGUUUAGUAGCAGAAGCAUGUUUCCCUAUGAAGAAGAUUGUUCUUUGUAAUUGUCAGGGUUAUAGUUUUGCUGGAGUUUCAUUUUUGGUGAGGCAUUACCCGUUGGUUGAGCACUUGGAUCUUGAAAGAACUUUUUUUCUUACAGAUAAUGAUAUCUUUGAGCUAUCCAAGUCGCUUGGUAGUAUCACUUAUAUAUACCUUAGUUAUUGCCAUAGACUCACCAGUGUCACCUUUGACACCCUCGUUAGAAACUGUCGGGUUUUAAAUGUAAUCAUAAUGGCAGGAACGAAUGCUGGGGCUGAAGCCUUGGAGUCAAAAUUCUGAACUUGUCUCACAAUAGGUUAAUGGGAAAUGGGGUUAUUGCAAAUUAUGUAUCGGUUUUCCCCAAUUUGGAAAUGCUAAAUUUGAGCGAUUGUGUAAAAAUCACAGAAGACGGCAUUGUAGAAGUUUUGAAGAGAUGCUCUAGGAUUAGGCAUUUGGAGAUAAGCAGAUGUGGUUUGAUAGAGAAUCUUUUGAUAGACUUUGAACUUCCGAAGUUGGAGGUAUUGUGUGCAAGAGGAUUGAUAAUUGAUGAUGAUGGAUUGACUAUAAUUGGAAAAAGAUGUCCCAGGCUACAGAAAUUAGACGUGUCGGCCUGCAUGGAAGUUACAGCGAAGGGGGUGAAGGAAGUGGUAGCGUACUGCAAAGAAAUUAGGGAGAUAAAGUUGAGGUCGUGCACUAAAUUCAGUUAUGAUGUCAUUCCUUGGAUGCUGUUAUCAAGGCUGUCACUCAAGACAAUUGUACUCGGCUUCUUUUCGUUCUCUUCCUACUGAGUGCCAAAGAAAACAUAUUGUGCAUGAGGGAGUUCUUGUUUGUGCUGACUAGCGUCUAUAGUAUUAUUUCAAUGAAAUUUUCAAUAUCUCAGGUGUACUGAGAUAGAAGAUAUGUUUUUCUUCAUCUUAUACUGCAACCUCAAUUAUUUUGAGUUUUUGACAACAAUUUAUUAGCUAUAUGGUAAUUUGUAGAUGAUGUUUCAGAUGUUGUUAUUACUUUUCAGUUUGGAUCUUCCCACAUGAAUGUCAUUCAGUUACAAGAAACUAUUAUUGGUUACUAACUCACAGGCGCGGGUAACUUAUCCUACAAGCAAAGCCUCCAUAUUGAGCAAAUUAUAAGCAGAUAGGAACCAGCAUGUCAACUACCGAUGUGAUUAUGUGAACAGUUUGAAGUUUUUAUUUUCUACACUUCUCAAGUGCAGAUACUAGAUAGGAACCAGCAUGUCAACCAAUCGGUUCUGAUAAACUGUGGCAGAUUUUGCAGUUCUAUAUUCUGCAGUACCUCACCCAUCAUUCUUUACUGGAGAUAUGAUACAUGUAGCUACAAAUCCUUUUUUUUUUUGGUCGUUUUACAGCCUUUAUGUGACCUGCAGUUUUUGUUUUUGUGUAAAAUACUAAAAUGUCUCUUCUGAAGAAUUCGGAUUUCUCGAAGUUCAUUUUGCUUGUUGGCUUUCCGGUCAAUGUGAUGUUUUGAAGUUUAGCCAAAACUUACAAGCAAUUGGGUUAAGGGAAUCCUUAUAUGUGUGAUCCACAUGCAAAUUUUAGCAACUGAGCAUUACAAAGCAGCGGAAAGGAAUGCAUUAGAAAGCAGAACUUAUAAACAAGAUUAUGCAGAUACGAGGUUAUGUAAGAGGUGAACUUUAUUUAAACUAUCAAUGUGACAUACAAUCGUGCCUUGCAACACACUCAAAAGGAGUGAAAAGAAAAGGAGAAGAAACCAACAUGAACUAAUCUAUUUCAUUCUAUCCAUACAGAAUUAUGAAUGUAUGGUUAACCAGAAAGGUAAAUUACUGAAUAAACAAAGAGAGAACGUAUUCAAAUGCUCUAAUUCUUGUAAUGUUUCUUGUACUCUUGUUUGACAUCUGGUGUGUCCCGGAGACCAAGUUUGGAGAGAACAAGGCAGUAAGAGUCCCAGUCAGUUCUUCGGAGGUACUUCAAUAGCUUCUUCCUCCUCUGCACCAUUGCUUGAAGACCCUUAAGUGAAUGCUUAUCCUACAAAAAAAAAAAAAUCAGAGUUGUUACAUGGAGACAGAAACUUGUAACUGAAUAUAUGUUAAGCAUAUUGGUUUAAUAAUAAAAAAACUAAAAGCAAAUAGAUGAUUGUCACCUUUUUGUGUAAAACUGAAGAAAGGUGUUUGAUCUUUGUAGUGAGCUGUGCCACUGCAGAGUGAAGAAAAAGGUUAGCAAACAUCCAAAGCCAUCACAAAUAGAAACCAUACCGUUUGUGUACUAAUGGUUGAAAUCUUUUGUAUAUCCCAGCCAGGAAAAGAAUAAGAAAUCUGUUUUCCAUAAAAUAAAUUCUAAGGGACCUCCAAAUUUGUUUAUAGACCUCCCCUGCAAUUUUAUACCCAAAAGUUAACAAUUUGCUUUCAAAUUAAGAAUAUAAGAACCAAGACAGUAGCCAUCCCCACCAGCCCCUAAGACUAUGAACACUAAGGUGUUGUAUCAAUGGAUUACUGUCCCGGGGAACUAACUACAAGGCGUCAUGCUCAUGCAACCCCUUCAACAUUGACUACAGAGUUCAGAUGGACUCCCCUAACAAAUCGGAUGUUUUCCUUUCUGAUUGCAAUUACAAAACUCUACUUGCAUGAACAAGAGCCUAAUAUUACCAUACUUUAAUGCCCUUUCGUUUCCAGUAAUCCCUUAACACUAAUAUCACAUCCAUGUUGUAGCUGCAGUUCAAAAUACAGGAAAUUGAAUUCCAAACAAAGUUCAGCAAUAAACCAAAUACCAAUUUUCCACCUUGUACUCUUCCUCCCCUUUCUGAUAAGCAAUAGAAACUUAUUCACAACCAAGGAAUUCCUAAAUUCUAAUAUCACAUCCAUGCCAAUCGAUAGACGUUUCUGUGAUAAAAAAAAUUCACGGACAUAUGUACGGGUAGCCUCUUUGAGAUUCCUAUAUCAAAAUAAAGAGGGAGUAGAACAGUCAAAGAAACCAGCCAGACUCAAAUCUGCACUGAAACAUGAAAUUCAGUGUUCAACCAGAUUUUAGGUCUCAGACAUAUUUCUUCAUAGAAUAACCAAAUACUUUUUCUGUCUUCCCCUACAGGUAUGACAGUAGAUGAACUAGUAGUGAUAUACAAAAAUAUAAAUGUUACAAAUAUUAAGAUACGAGGAGGAAAGCCUUUUUAACAUUACGAAUUGCAUGCCACCGAUAAAUAUUAAAGAUACACUUGUAUAGAAAGAAAGAGAAGACAAAAGAUGUAUUCUUCUGUAACUAAAAAAGAUGUAAAACAAUACAAUAUCAAAACCUAUACCUUGUACUCGUGAAGAACCACAAUCUGACUCUGACAUUUUAAAUUCAUCUCUAACUUUGUCAAGCUCUAUUUUUAGUUUUUCUGCAGCUGACAUGUUAUCUGGAUGGAAAUACUGCAUUCAACAUAAUAUAACAGAUUAGGCACCAAACUGCAGAAUAUAGAUCAUCAAUCACAAUAUCACUUCUUGUGAGAAUGAUAACAAUACAAGUGCACAUCAAACUCUCUACAAGCACACUUUCCAAAGAAUUAUGAACAUAAGAAGACCUAGAGUAACAUAACUGUGUGCCACUUAUAUAUUUCACAAUUCCAUAUCCUUAAAAGCAGAAAACAAAGAUAUCAAUGUAUGUGUUCCUUUAAGUUGUAAUCAGUUUUCCACAUUUAAGUUGUAAAUGGGAGAAAUCCCCCCAAGAUAAAUUGAAUAUAUGAAUUUUAGUGAAAAGUCACAGGUGAUGCAAAAGUCAAAAGAAUUAUACUUGCCUUCUCAGCCAAGCCUUCCUUCGGGGGUUUCGUCAUAUAAUCAGGAGUUUGACCCAAUUCUAAUAUAGGAAGCCUCUUAACUGAAACAACAACAACAUAAAUCAAUGAGUUCCAGAGGACCCCAAACUAAAAUCAAUAAAGAAAAACAUUGAAAUAUUUGUUCAAGCUAUUGUUGUAAAUUCAAAGUAAAAACAGCAAACCCCAAGUUGUUAAAUGUUAACUAAUCUAACUCCACAUACUGACAAGCCGGAUCAGGGCAUGAUCCCAGAACUUAGAGCUGGGCUGUUUUCUUUAGACACCAAGGACAUAAUUUCAGUAUUAACCAAACUGCGUAUAAGAACAUGUAAUAACAUUUCUGUCAAAUAAAAUCAAGUUAAACUCUUAACUGACAAGUUUUACUCACUGAUGUAAGUGGACACUACUUAGACAUAAAGACAGAAGAGGAGGGCUAAGAUUUGGAAAGCAUCACACUGAAACAUGGGGUUUUCAUAAACUUAUAAAUGCCAGCCUUGCUGAAAACCCUAUACUUUAAAAUGCAUGGUAUUGAUUUGGUCUAUUUCACUUAGACACUUUUGACCAUAAUACUACAUAUAGACCUAUAUUUUCAACAGAUAACUUAUUCUGCAUCUCUCAAUUAAUUCUAAACCCUCUGCUUUGAUCACCUAAGAACAUUUCUGAAUCUAUUAAAAACCAAGCUACUAAACUAAACAUGAACCCCAAUCAAAGCAGCAAAAGAAUACUCACUCGAAGAUGUCUUAUACCCCUCAUUCAAGGUGACCAACGAAUCCCUCAAGUCAUUGCGAUUGACUCCCCCAGUCCGAGACCGAGCCUCAAUAUCAUCCAUCUUCCUCAACUUGACCAACCUCUCACUCAACUCCACAAACGAAAACACCCCGCCGCCCUCGGGCCUCAACUUCCUCAGCUUCUCCCCCAACUCCUCUUCGCUAUAAAUCUUGAUAAACUCAGUCUUCAACCCAUCCUCCCUCUUCUCUCCAAUCCUCUCCUUAUCAAACAAACGCGGCAGUCCACCACUGCCCACCGCAUCCUGGCCGCUCGGCUUCGACCUUAGUAUGCUCUGAAACCUUCUCAUCGACAAUGGCUCACCCUUCUUCUCACCCUGCACAUUUGCAUUGGGUCUUAAGUGCUUCAGACUAUCCCGAAUCGACUUGAACUCCACCGCCUUGCCGUCGCUGCUCACUUUUCUCUUGAAAAGCUCGGAAAACGAAAUCUGCUCCGAGCCCGGCGGGGGCGGAGAGCUGUUGGAUUCAAUGUGGUUUGGUCCCAUGGAUCGAAUGCGAAACUCCGAGAGAUUCUUGCGGAUUUCGUACAGGGAAUCGGCAUUGGAGGGCCGGGCGGGAGGAGGAGGGUGGUUGAUGCGAGGAGUGGGUCUGCUUUGAUGUGACUGUUGCCUGAGGCUGCCUUUGACAUCGCUGAAGUAAUUGGAGAUGGAGGAGGAGGAGGACUGGGGAUUCGGUUCGGUUGGGUCGGAUGGAUCUGAGGAGGAGGAGGUGGAGAAGAGGUGGUGGGUGAGAGAUGGGUUGGUUAGGGUGCGGUGGUUGGUUCUCAGUCGGAGAGCCAUCAUCGCCGAAAAUGAUGAAGAAGGCGUAGGUUUUGAAAUGGGAAGAAGAAGAGGAGGAGAGAUUGGGGGUUUUGCCUGGGGUUUUAUUAUUUGGGCCGAUGACAAAGGUACUAGGCUACUAAUGGAACACAUUCUAUCUACUUGGUUAAUUAGUUUGCUUAUCAUCUAAUAAUAGUGUACGCUUGUUAUGUAACGGGUCAAGUCUCAAACUUGCAAUAGGAACUUAAAGGCCCAUUCCACCCAAUUAGGUAAUUAUGAAAGUAGUUAUUUUCUGAGUAAAAACUUAAAAUAGUACCUGAACUAUUGCGAAAGGUAUUUUUUUUUAUACCUAUAAAUUUUUUUUACUUGAAAUGGUACCUCAAGUAUUGCUCUGUUACCUGAUACGGUACCUCCGUUACUUUUUCUGUUAAAAUUGCCUACGUGGCAUUUUGAAUGGUACAAAUACCCAAAAUGGUACCUAAGCUAUUGCGAAAUGGAUUUUUCGAUACCUGUAUUUUUUUUAUUCUCAAAUAACACCCCAAUAUCUAAUUAUAUAUGAUCGAUAGGUAAACUGUAAACAUAAUAAACAUAUUAUCACUAUAAUUCAUAAAUAUAUUAUAUUUUUCUUUAUAAACAUAAUAUUUAUAUUUCUCUUAUGAGCAAUUUUCUUAUAAAUAAUUAUAAAUAUAUUACGUCUGUUUUUGUACAAUCCUAGAUGAGGUUUGCAGAAGCUGAUGGCGUGUCUAGUAGAUGGUCAGCUAUCCUCAUACUAACCUGCAAUAACAAGGGUGAUCGGGGGCUUCCGGUUUUUCGUUCUCUAAAGCUCAAGUCAGUAUUUCAUGGUAGAAAUGUAAUUACUAAGGUAGUUAAUGUUACCUGACAAGCUGAUGGCUGGGCCAUAUUUAUGGCCCAGAGUGGGUUUUCCUUCACUUGAAAACCGAUGUGGGACAACUCCCUUUUACUGUUACUUCAAACACCCAGUUUCCAUACACCUUCCAAGACCGUUCCCGGCCCAUCCGACUCUUGGAUGAGAACCCUAGGGCGGCCUCGGUUAUCUUAACCAUGGUGGGAUGUUACUGGUUUACAAACUUGAGAGGUUGUUUUAUGCACAACCGACUACAACGUCGUUACUAUUGUUGAGCAAUAAAAAAAAUAAAACAAAAUUGAUGCCGUAAGCUACAGAUGAUUAUCCAGAAGAAAAAAGAAAGAGAUAAUGGCAGCAAUAUAUAAAGUGGGGUUUAAUUACAUAUAAAGUGGGGUUUAAUUACAUAUUAUCCUCACUCAAAUACAGAGUCCUCAAUUGACCAAUUCCUCAUGAAGCAAACCACCGAAACAGAGGAAAAAAUAACAGAACCAAAGAGAAGGAGAUUUUCAAAUUCAAAUUAAAGAUCAGAUAUUCAAGUGUUGAUCUGUUCAUCUUCGUGAUCUUUGUGCACGUUCAAAUUCAAACUCAUUCUUAUCCAGCUGUUUGGUAUUCUCUAUAUAAAGAGGGUACGUGCAUGCAUAGAGGGCCAGAGAAGAAGACCGAGGCAGAAGGGCAGCGACAGAAGACGGAGGCAGAAGCAGGCAGAGCGACAGAAGAAAGCAGAAGCAGACAAACGAAGAAGAAGCUUCAGAAGAAAACAGGAGAAGCGAUCAAAAGAAGGCAGAAGCAAGAAGAAGCAAGCAGAAGCAACAGAGGUGACGAAGAAGCCACACAAAAGCUCAAGUCACGUAGCACAAAGCAAAGGGAAGAGAUCGACAGCACCAUAGAAGAAGAAGAAGCACAAGAGGAAAGGUAAAGAACUACUCCAGCCAGCCUCAUUUCACUUCACUUCCGAGUCUGUCCUCUCAUCAAAUCCCACACCAACAUGCUCAAAUGCGAGAAGCCUCGUUUACGGUACAUCUGGUAUCCACGAGAGUAAAUGCUGCAACAAAGCUCGCCUGGUGAAGCUUCACACGCAGUCUUCGAAUCGGUGCCUCAAAUGCUCUUCACUGCGUCAAAGGCAACAUCACAGUCACGCACCAGAAAAGUAGCUCAAGUCGCCUACAACGAAUAAAAGCAGUGAAGACGAAGUCUGAUACCUCAAUGAAGCUGCCACCAAAAUGCUCACGACCUGUUCAGUCCCCAAAGGAUGUGUCAAGGUGCCGGCUUCUUGUGUGAUGUCUAGCAGUCUCCAAGGACCACGCCGGCGCAGCGUCUCUGAAGCCUUAUAGCAGCAGCUCUCGGCUCCCACAUGUCCCAAAAGUGAUCUAUGUUUGUCAGCAAGCAGCGUCUCAAAGUCCCAGCAGCGUCUAUCAUGUUCUCGCUCAAAGUCGCUUUGACCACAACCUGCAUCAAGCAUCAAAGACGACGUCACAAAGGAGCGGCUCAAGUCGUUUACAAGGACAGUAGGGAAAGUGAAGUUUGCUGCCAUGCUCACAGCAGAUGCCAUUGUGUCAAGCUCCUGCCUCAUGUGGAAGUAACGGCUUCAAGAUUUAUCAAUCUGCAAAGCAACAAGCUGUGAUUGAAUGCGUCUGCAUCAACAAGUCUACAACCAGCGCCAUGACCACCACAAGGAGCCACUGAUAUUUUUACCAAAGCAAUGACAAAGCAAGAUGAAAAAGAAGUGUCUGCAAGUUCACCUCUUCAAAUAAACCUGGCGGUGGAGGAAAGUUCAGAGCCUGUGUACAAGACACACAUGCUUAAUCUAAGCUUUUGCUUUGGGUGGCCAUCAAAUGACAAAUGAUCAUCUCCAGGAGCUUAAAUGAAAUGACAAGAACAUGUAUAAUUGUGUUUGCCAAUUACAUAAGCUACGUGCCUUUUUCUAAAUCAAACACUAAAGGCAUAUGCCUCAGACUUGUUCAAAUGGAAGUUGAAUGGCAAGAUGACAAAAAGUUGAUCAAUGCCCAAAAUGAAUCGGUGGAGUUUGGCAACAUGCAAAGCAACAAGCUUUAGUCUCAAUUAAAAAAAAUCUGAUCAUGGAAUCGUGACUUGAUGAUGGAAGAAGACAAACUUAAUGUCAAGAUGAAUUGAGGAAAUUCGCACCAAAAUGCUGAAGGCGGAUCAAAGAGCCAGCGAACUCAGUCUUCACCAAAAUACCUUGACAACUGAAAAGAAGAAAGAAAUCAAAGCCAUGCUAUGUUCGAGUGGGCUCGGCCAGAAUUGAACCUGCCCAGAUAAAGCUUCCUUACCCAUUUUCGCACAAAGAGAAGUGACAUAGCAAGCUUCCUAGUGUUGAGAAAUUCCUUCUCGGCGAAGACCAACCAUCUCCAAGUUGUUGUUUGCUGAACCAGUCCUUCUCCAUUUGAUCAGUUUCGGUCUCAAGUUCUGGGCUAAAUAAAAAUGAAGAACGGGAAGACAGGGAAAGUAAAAAGAAGACAAAUGAGCCUCGAGGUCAUUUCGUGCCUCACCAAAUGAUCCGUCAGUCACCGCAAAGCUAAAAUGAAGCAGUGCAAAGCCCAAUCCAAGUCUCAAGGCCCAACUGCAAAGCUCGACACGACGGGUGUCCAAAUCAAAUCAACACACUACCAAAUUGGGUGUCCACAAAAAAAUUACAAUUGACAGAUUCAAAAAUAUAUCUGUCAACCCAAAAGUCGGUACAAAACCGCAAACCCAAAUUAAUAAACUACGGUCGGUUUGAUCCCAUAAAAGGGUACGUAGGCAAUCUAGCGACCUACUAGAUGCAACCACCAUUCCAAACAGAAUCCUUGACACCACCAGUCAAAUUCGGUCAGUCCAAAUGACUUUAGUCAAAUUCCUAAAGCACCAGAAAAAUCAAAUUCACUCCCAAAAAUUUGAACUACAUUCCUGGAUCACCUGAAGCCAAAGUCUCGCUCCAAAGCUCAAAUGCCUUCAGAUACAAAUCCAAACACAUUUCUAAACACUACUCUCAUUCCAAAAUCAAAGCCCUCUAACGAGUCAUUCGCUUGUUGGAAUUCUUGAACUACGAAUGGCUUGAUCCCUUCCCAAGGGUACGUAGGCAACCCAUUCAAAUUUCCGGGUGCAGCCAUAAAAAUAAACAAACACACACACCCCCCAUUGGUUAUUUUCUUUUGGAAUCAAAGGGUUUUCCUUUUAAAAUAAGAGGAUGUGAUUAAGAGAUAUGUUAUCUUGAAUGGGUCAAACUUAACAUAAUAAAAGUUAUAUCUCCCAUAAAUGUGAUAGGACGAUAUUAUGUCGAGUAUAUGCUGUACAUUUUUUGCUCAACAACUACAUAUUGGACUUUCUUUAUAAAUAGACCUUAUGUAAGAAAAUAUUUAUGGAUAAAAUGCUAAUAAUAUGUUUAUGAGUUUAAUUUACAUAUAUAUAUAUGUAGAUCAAAAAGUAAUUUGGAAUUUUUAUUUGGAGUAAAAAAGUUUAUAGGCACCAAAAAAUUCUUUAGUAGUAGAUUAGGUACCAUUUUGGGUAUUUAUACCAUUCAAAUAUAUGCCACGUAGGCGAUCUUAAUGGAAAAAUUAACAGAGGUAUCAUAUCAGGUAACAGAGCAAUACUUGAGGUACCAUUUCAAGUAAAACAAAUUCAUAUGUACCAAAAAAUACCUUUCGCAAUAGUCCAGGUACCAUUUUAGGUUUUUACCCUUAUGUUCUAGGGAAAAUGACAUAGAAAGGACUAACCAAAGAUUUAAAUACACAAAAAACCAUUUGCUGAAAGAUUUAUGCAAAUAAAGACAUGACCCAAGGCUAAAUUAAAUACUGACAUGUCUGACUCUCCUUUUUUAAAAUCAAAUGACCAAAAUGUCAUUUCUACAGUAAAAUUACACGAGUGCCACUAGAAGCAAAAGCCAUCAUACACUUCUCUCCUUCGUAUCUUCAACCCCCAAUUUCUCAGAUCCUCACUUUCAUCCCCACAAAUCCCUAAUCUCUUUGUCGUCCUCCUCCUCUAUGUUAGCCCACUAGUGUCCUUUACGCCGCUAACUAGCCGAGCCACCACCCAACAAAAGUACAGUCAACCGAAACAUGGUCGAUCCGUCGUUUUGAGAUCUGCUACUGAAGAAAAUUUGUCGGUGAGGUAUGGUAGGUGUUUGGAGGAGAUUCAUUGUUGUAAGAUGUGCUACUGGAGCAAUAGCAGCAAGGUUGGGCCCGAGCUGGCGUAGCUACGAGCUUGAAGGUAAAGGGAGCUGGAGUUGGAUAUAGUGUUGGCGGCAGAGAGUUUGUAUGUGAUUCAAAAAUUCAAGAUUUGAUAAAUUGGCUUGAUUAUGACAAAGAUAUGUGUAAAAGAGAGAUGAAUCUCAUGUCAAUUAAUGCGAGUUACCACAUAGAAUAUGAGUGCAGUUGCAGAGAUAAGACUAUUUUUUCAGUUUGGUUUUGAUACUUUUGGAUGGAAGUUGUUGAAUUCAUUUCAGUAAGAUCAUGUAGGUGUUUCGUCGAAUAUUUAUUAGAAUAUGUUGCCAAAGAAAGCUGGAAAAGUCAAAAGAGAAAUGGAUUUGGAUUUUAAUCAGCAGUGGUAGCUUCUCAAUUAAUGUCACACCCCGGUUCUUAAGUUAUUUUACGGUUAUUUACUUUGGUAUUAUUUUGGUCUAUUACCGUAUUAAGUAAUCGUUUACUAUUUAAGACUCCAAAAGUUGACUUUUUCUUCUAUUUGGAAUUUAGGAAAACUUUCUUCAUGAAAGUUGUAGCGAACGUUAAACAGAGUUCGUGGACAUGCGACACACUUAAAACGGAGUUCGUAUGAAGAAGUUAUGGUCUAAAAACGAAAGUUACUAUUUUGGUAAAAAGAGGUAAAUUUUUAUUGGGUUUUAUUUUGUGGGUGUUUUAAGUGUUGGACCAGGUGUGGACAAGCCCAACACCCACAUUCUCUCUCUCUCUCUCUCUCUCUCUCUCUCNCUCUNUCUCUUCUCGUUNAUACUACUCUACUACUACUUACUUACUACUACUACUACUCUCUACUCUACUACUACUCUCUCUCUCUCUCUCUCUCUCUCUCUCUCUCUCUCUCUCUCUCUCUCUCUCUCUCUCUCUCUCUCUCUCUCUCUCUCUCUCUCUCUCUCCCGAGCCUCCCCUGAGCUCUCUCUUCAGCCGGAAGUUCCAACGCCACCUGCCGUCGUCCGGCCAGCAACCGGCCGCCGCUCCAGCCCAGUUCGGACCCCCGCCGUCUCCUCUCCCUUCCUGGGCCGGUGACCGAUCGUGUGACACCGUCGGACGAGAGGAAUCCCGCCCGACACGCCAAACUGUCCUUCGUCGGAGCUCCCUCCUCCGGCCACCAUAACUCGAGAUUUUUGGCUCAAAUUGUAGCUCUCAUCAAGGUUAGUGAUCCCUAAAAAAGAAUCGACUUAAUUCAAUCUUGGUAGGGAGAAAUGUUUAAUUUAAAUUCUAGGGAUUUAUGGAUGUUUUAGUUCGAUUACCCUAGUUAAGCUUAGAAUUGGACUAAGUGCUGGUUAUGAAAGUUGUUGUGCAUGAUGAGAGGAUUUUUCUGUUAAAUUUUGGGGGGCAAUGGACACCGUCAGAGUACGGCUGCAGGCUGCCGCUGCCCGCGGAGCAGGCGGCAGCGCUGCCACUUGGAGGUUGUUUUUCAAGUUUUUGGGUUUGUUAUAAUGAGAGGAGUCUAAUGAAGUAUAGUUUGGAAUAUUUGGAGGAGUUUUGAUAAGGUUUGGGAUUUUUAAAAGAUUAAGAAUUUUGCCAGUUAUUAGAAUGAAAUCCGACCGUUGGAUUUCCUUGGUAUUUAUUAUAGAAUGUUAGAAUUGAUGAAUUAAGAUUGUGGUGGAGUUUGGUGUGAAUCCGGCAAGUUUAACCCUAUUAAGAGUAGUCAGUUAAACGGAAGAGAGUUAGAUGUUUUUAUUCAUGUAUUUAUUUUCUGGAAUUGAAGUUUGGUUCUAAGCAUGGUUGUUGUGCCAGGAUGCACAGGGAAUCUCGCUUGAGUGGCGACGCAGUUAUCGUCGGGCUUAUGCCUAAAUUUGUGAGUGGACAUUUUGGUUUUAAAUAAAUAUGCAUGCAAGAUUUUAUAAUCUAUCAUUUUAUUUUCCGAGCAUAUAUUAUAAUUUUCAGCUCAUGAGAUGAUCUUGAAAAUUAUUUGAGUUUGGUGCAUUGAUUAAGUGUUGGUCAUGAUUUAUGGAUUUGAGCUCGGAUUAAUUUUUUGAUAUUUGAGUUUGAUUAUUCCUUAUAAGUUUCGGAUUUCAGUAUAAUGGUUUUAUUGGUGGACUUUGAGAUUUUUAAAUGAUUUCCGAAAAUGGGAUUUUCGGUAGUUCUCCAUCAUAAUUUAAUUGUUAUUUGAGGCAUAAUGAUUUUGACUUGGAGAAUAUUUUAGCGAGUAUUUUUGAGUGGAGAUUUUAUUAAUUAUGAUUUAUAUUUGAUAUUGAAAUCUCGCUUAUAUUUAUAAAUUUGAGAAGAUUUUGACGUGUGAGAUACGUCAUUGAGUUUAUUAUAAUUUCUUAUGAUGAUUUUCAAGUACGGUUAGAAACCGUACCAUUCGUAUGAUCUUGGGGAAGUUUCAUGGAUUUAAAGGAUUUUUGUAUGAUUUUAGUCACCAUAAUAUAGGGUCGCUUUUAUAUUGAUUAUUGCUAGCUAACCUUAUUAGCGGUCAUCAUCAUAUGUGAGUCGCUAUUAUAGCCUUAUUAGCGGUCCUCUUCAUAUGUGAGUAGAGCGCGUAGCGUGGGAUGCUAUUAUAGCCUGGGAAUCAACUUAUCGGUAUUUAUAUUUAUUAGUUAGUUAGCCAUUAUUAGCGGUCCUCAUUAUAGGUGAGUAUAGCGCUUAGCGUGGGGCGCUAUUAUAGCUUGGGAGGCACCGACCCGAGCUUAGGAGGCUCCUUUUACAUGGUGAUAACUCUUCCCCUUAUUUUAUUCUUCUCAGUAAUAUAUUUGAUUAACCAGCGGGGCUGGUUUAUCUCCUUUUAUGAGAUUUCUGUUUUAAUUAACCAGCGGGGCUGGUUUGUCCUUUAUCAAGUGAUUUUUGAUUUAAAGUUUUAAGGACGUUCAAGUUGCAUGCUGUUAAGUUUUAAAAGUUGAAAAGUGGGAAAAUAUAUAAGUUAUAUAAUUGUUAAGUUAUUGAAUUUAUUUUCGUCCACUCACUCUAACGUUUUUAAAUUACUUUCCCCUGGGCCCUUUGGUUUAUAAAUGCCCAGUUUACAGGCUAAUUUAUUUGAGGUCAAGCGUAUAUUGAGUCGAGGCAUAGUUAGAGGCUGUAUCCUCUCAUUCUUAUUUCAUUGCUUUUCGUUUAUCUUUAGAUAGGCUCUGAAAGUCCAGUAGUGAAUUAUUAAUUGGUCUGUUGUUGGUUGUGGGAUUAUUUUAGUUGAGAAAUUUUAUAUUGGGAGAUGUGAUGAACUUGGGGAGCAGGAAGGCUUCAGGUGUUGAGGAUGGAUGUUUGGUAAUAGAAGUGUUUAAGUUGAGUUUUUCAGGUAAGAGUUGUCCAUUUUCAAGGUAGAUUAUGCCGAAUUUUUGGUAAAUCUUUCUUGGAGGUGGACCCCGUAGGAUUUACUUCGGAUUUAAGGGUGAAAUUCGGGGUGGGUUCUGACAAUUAAUAGUAGUAGCUUCUCAAUAGAUAGUAGCAACUUCUAAGCAGACAGUAGCAGCUUGGUCUCAAUCGACAAUAGUAGCUUGAUUUCAAUCGAUAGUAGCAGCUCCCAAUCGAUACACAGUAGCAACUUAACCCAAUCGACUGUAGUAGCUCCCAAUCCACAUAUAGUAGCAGGAUCUUACUAGUAUAUACAGUAGCAGGAGCUUUUCAAUAUACGCAAUAGCAGGAGCUUUUUAAUAUAUGCAGUAGCAGCAGUCAGGGUUGCAUACACGUUUGUAACCUAGUAUAUACUUCCAUUCUCAACCCCAAAUCUCAGGUGUAAAAGUUAUGAGGGUUAGUUUGGUAAAAGUGUCUCAUGACACAUGACAUACAGAAAAAUAUUUGUCUUUAUUUGUUAAAAACUGUCCUUAUUUAUUUAAAACCAAUGUAAAUGGAUUUUUUUGUCUUUCAAAUCUUUUGAAGGAGAUAUAUAUAGUUUGCUAUAUUUUCUAUAUCUAUAGGAUAUAUAAUAGCUGUAAACUCCUUUAGAUGACUUAAUUAAAAAAAAAAAAAAAAAAAAAAAAAAAAAAACUACUUUUAGAUGGGUUAUGGAUGAAUGAAUAUGAACAUUGUUUAGUUUAUCUCUUUAGAUUCUUAUAGUUUUCCUUUUCUAUUUAGAUAAAUGGAUUCUUUUUUUUUCCUUGAACAAAAUGAUAGUUUCAUUGAUAAUGCGGAGGCCAGAAUGACUACAUAUGAUAACCUUAAGGGUAAUAUAGAACAAGUACAUUUGGACUUAAAGCUCACUUAUUGGUGAGCAUAACAUAUUGUACAAAAAUUAGAACAACAAAAAUACUAGAGCUACAUACUACAAGAGCCUAAGCGCUCAAUUGCGGUACCCAAGUAAUAUGCAACCAUUUAGAUGUAGCUAACUAUCAUAGUCUGCCAGCUCGAAAUAGAGACACGGCUUAAGCCAUCUAUUGUUUGAAUUCAGGCCCAAUGGCCCAAUUCUAACACAGAUCUUGUUUGGGAUUGAGUUCAGAUCCAGGCCCAAGAGAUCGAACCUAAUUCCAAACCCUACUCAUCUUGUGUUGCCCUCCUCUGUUAGCAACGCCAUCCAUGGCGGCGACAACUUGGUGUUUUUGCCUUUCAACAACCAUCAUCUUCAGCAGCAACCAAAUCAGACCAGUCACUACCUCCUAGUAGCCUUCUCUAAUUUCGACCACGAUCGGAAGCUCUAUCCCUGCUAGCACUAGCUCGCCGUCUUUGAAACCCGGUAUGAACCAAGUUCUCUCACCCCCAGCCUCUCUAAUCAAAAGCCAUAUGGUGAUCGAUCGAGGUUCUUGGGAUAUGAAUUUUGAUAUAUGGAUUCUGAUCCUAACAGCUAUCUAUUUAACGGUUUUAUCUCUCAACCUUAGUCUGGUUGGUUUUAAUGACAAAGGUACUAAGGCUACCUAAUUAAUUUAUGGAUUUUUUCCACUUCAAACAUGGUCUCUCCUUCAAUUUCUUCAUCUUCUGGUCAAUAUAUCUUUUUGCAAUUUAUUGUGCACAAUGUAAUUUUGGUGUUGUUUUUGUGUAUGGGUCUGUCGCACCGAUUAUACCUUUUUCUGUCUCACCCUCUAGCCUCCAGUCAUACUAUAACACUCAGGUAACUAAUUCGAUUUCUCCAGCUAUAUAUUUCAAAACAUAAGUUUCAGGUCUAUAUUCCUAUCUACAGACAUUGUAACUCUGUUUUAUUUGCUUCUAAGUGACAGGCAAACCAAGGAAGCAACAUUAACUUCAACAGCCAAGGACCAAAAUGAAUAACAAAAAAUGGACUGAAUGCCAAGGAUUG